rnacentral:rRNA from 1 species
UACGUAGGGUGCAAGCGUUGUCCGGAAUUAUUGGGCGUAAAGGGCUCGUAGGCGGUCCAUCGCGUCGGGAGUGAAAAGCUGGGGCUUAACCCCAGUCCUGCUUCCGAUACGGGUGGACUAGAGGUAGGCAGGGGAGAACGGAAUUCCUGGUGUAGCGGUGAAAUGCGCAGAUAUCGGGAGGAACACCAGUGGCGAAGGCGGCUUUCUGGCCUGUUCUUGACGCUGAGGCGCGAAAGCUAGGGUAGCAAACGGG